GAAGUCUUCGGACUUUGAGACCGGCGCACGGGUGCGUAACGCGUAUGCAAUCUGCCUUGUACAAAGGGAUAGCCCAGAGAAAUUUGGAUUAAUACCUUAUAGUAUAUCGAUGUGGCAUCACAUUGUUAUUAAAGAUUUAUCGGUACAAGAUGAGCAUGCGUCCCAUUAGCUAGUUGGUGUGGUAACGGCAUACCAAGGCAAUGAUGGGUAGGGGUCCUGAGAGGGAGAUCCCCCACACUGGUACUGAGACACGGACCAGACUCCUACGGGAGGCAGCAGUGAGGAAUAUUGGACAAUGGGCGCAAGCCUGAUCCAGCCAUGCCGCGUGCAGGAUGAAGCAUCUAUGGU
rnacentral:rRNA from 1 species